rnacentral:rRNA from 1 species
UACGUAGGUGGCAAGCGUUGUUCGGAAUUAUUGGGCGUAAAGAGCUCGUAGGCGGUUUGUCGCGUCUGCCGUGAAAGUCCGGGGCUCAACUCCGGAUCUGCGGUGGGUACGGGCAGACUAGAGUGAUGUAGGGGAGACUGGAAUUCCUGGUGUAGCGGUGAAAUGCGCAGAUAUCAGGAGGAACACCGAUGGCGAAGGCAGGUCUCUGGGCAUUAACUGACGCUGAGGAGCGAAAGCAUGGGGAGCGAACAGG